GACGAACGCUGGCGGCGUGCUUAACACAUGCAAGUCGAACGGAAAGGCCCGGCUUUUGUGGGGUGCUCGAGUGGCGAACGGGUGAGUAACACGGGAGUAACCUGCCCUUGACUUGGGGAUAACUUCAGGAAACUGGGGCUAAUACCGGGUAGGAGCUCCUGCUGCAUGGUGGGGGUUGGAAAGUUUCGGCGGUUGGGGUUGGGCUCGCGGCUUAUCAGCUUGUUGGUUGGGUAGGGGGUUAACAAGGCUUUGCCGGGUAGCCGGCCUGGGAGGGUGACCGGCCACCUUGGUCCUACGGUACGGACCAGACUCGAACGUGAGGCAGCAGUGGGGAAUGUUGCACAAUGGGCGGAAGCCUGAUGCAGCGACGCCGCGUGCGUGAUGCCGGCCUUGGGGUUGUAAACCGCUUUCGCCUGUGACGAAGCGUGAGUGACGGUAAUGGGUAAAGAAGCACCGGCUAACUACGUG
rnacentral:rRNA from 1 species